rnacentral:rRNA from 1 species
CAAAAACAUCGCCUCUUGACAUACAUAAGAGGUCCAGCCUGCCCAGUGACUAAGUUCAACGGCCGCGGUAUCCUAACCGUGCGAAGGUAGCGUAAUCACUUGUUCUUUAAAUGAGGACUAGUAUGAAUGGCACCACGAGGGUUAUACUGUCUCCUUUUUUUAAUCAAUGAAACUGAUCUCCCCGUGAAGAAGCGGGGAUAAAUUUAUAAGACGAGAAGACCCUAUGGAGCUUUAAACAAUUAUAGCACUGGCCCACACCUCUUAUUCUUCUGAGAUAUAAUUAUUAUACAGGCCAACAUGACUAUUAGUUUUAGGUUGGGGUGACCGCGGAGCAAAAAUUAACCUCCACGUUGAACGGAGCUACUCCUGAGCUAAAAACUACAACUUUAAGCACCAAUAAACUGACAUCAAUUGACCCA